GAGCAGUGCAUUCUUUAGGAAGUCCCUGAGGGAAUCGCUUGGUGUCAGUGCAGUAAUUGUAAAUCAUGUAAUUUUUCUGAACCCAUUUCAGCCUUUCUUGGCUCGUUAUAUCCAGUUCUUGCGAUAGCCAUGAAUUUUGAGAGGGCGAGGUGGAGGAACAUGAUGAUUUCCCGGAAGACCACACACAUGCAUCAGCCUUGUAAUUCCUGUAAGCAGCAGUGAAAGGAGCUUGACUCCAAUCUGUCUUAACAAGACCACCUCGAGUGGCCCAAUCAUCGGCGUUCCAAAGACUCGAAUACACUCUCAUCGGUUGGCUCUUUGGGAACGCAACGCCCAUCGAUUCCAAGUUCUUGAACUCUCUGAGCGGAGUCCCAUCAACAGAGAAGCUGUGAACAUUCAAAAGAAUCACAGUUAAACAUAAUGAAAAUAAUCGAAACUGUAAAAUUGAAUAGGGGGGGGGGUUGUAAAAGAAGACGUACAUAAUACGUUGAGGGUUCCAAAGAAGGGAGUAGGUGUGGAAGUCUUUGGUGGGAUCGAACCAAAGGUAGAACUGUUGCUCUUUAUCACCUUUGCCUUGUGUAUAUACAUUGGUGUGGACUGUGUAUGGGUCUCCGCUUAGGUUCCCCAAGAACUCGAAGUCGAUUUCAUCCCAUGUCGACCCUUCCGAACGAAGCUGCAAUUGUCACCCCACAUAUCAGCACAGAGUUGUAAAAUAAAUAAGAGACAAGUAUGAUGAUACAACGUACAUAGUAAGUGGUAACAGUGCCAGCAGAGUUGCCUGGGACCAGCUUAAUGUUCAUAUCAAUCUUCCCAAACAGAUAUUGGUUCUUGGAUUGAAAACCAGAGCCGGAGAAUUUGUCGAGGGUGAGAGUGAGAAGGUUUCCGUUUUCGAGAAUCUUGCCCCUGCCAUCACCCCAAGUAACAUCGAUGUCUUGGUUAAAGUUGGCAGCUGAGGCAAGUAUUACAAAGCUGAAUAAAAGAGAGAGAAGCAACGAAGUGGUCAUUAUUUUGGUGGGUUUGUAUUGUAAUUUAGAUUAUGAUGUUUGAAAUGGGGAAGUGAUAGAGGGUGGUUAUAUAGGGGGGAAGGAUUUGGUGAAACAGAGUAGAGAGGGGUUGUUUGGAAGCUUCGUGGUAUGUGUUUCCGUCGGGACAUUGAGUGAAUCGAAGUUGUAAACAGCUGGAACCGUAAAAGAGAAAGAAAGAAGGGGUCCAAAUGUGAUAAUACAUAACUAAUGGCUGUUCCUUGCUUCCAAAAUGCAUGUUUAAUUAAUGGGUUUGGUGCCUUCUUCCUAUGUCUGGUUGGUGCAAGCAGAUAGAUAUGAAUGUCAGGAAUUUAAUCCGAUUUUAAAAUUUGAGCUUUUAAAUAAAAAAUAAAUUAUUUAAGAUAAUAUCAAUGACUGUUAAAAUAAACUUUAAAAAUAUAGGUGUUUUUAUAUCCAAUAGUAAGUUACAUUAUAUUUUUAAAAAGAAGAUCGUGUAUUUGAAUUUUGAAAAUAUUGAAAUGAUCUUAAAAUAAACAUGAUUAAUUUGUUCUACAAUUUGAGUGAACCAAAAGAUUUCAUUAGCUUAAAAUCAACGGUGUUAAUUAAUAUGAGUAAUUGUCAAUGGCAAAACCAGGGGAGGAUAGCAGGGUCUUAGACCCCCUAAAAUAAAAAAAAUUUCGUAUGAUCUUUUGAGUAAAGGUAAAAUUAUAUUUUGGUCAAACUUAGAAAUAUAAAAAUUUAAUUUAAUCUUUUAAAAUUUAUAAAAAUAUAGUCUAUUAAAAUAAUAAAAUUAUAUUUUUUAUCGUAAAAAUUACAAUUUAAUUUUAACUGUUAAAUUUUUUUUAAAAUUUCACCCAUAUUGAUUGACUAAUUUUUGGGACCAACAAAAACUCAUCCACUGGGCUCAUCAUCUCAAACAAAAAUAAUAAUUAAACUAAUUAUAAAAAUGUCUAACCAAGUUCACAUUUUUAACAUUCUUUCAAUGAAAAUUAAAAUGAUUUUUACGCUUCGCGUUAAUUUAAUUAUUUAUUUAUCUCAAAUUUUGGAGUAUAAAUUUGAAUGUUAAAAUAUACUUUAAUCCUCCUAUCAUUUUCAGAAAUUUAAACCCUCUACUCUUGAGGAUAAAUAGACAUAAAUGAUUUGUUUAACUAUUAAGUAGAAAUUAAUCACAAAUAAUUAAAAUAGAAAAAUAAAAUUUAAAAUUUUUAAAAAAUAUAUAUUUGAACAUUAAGUAGCAAAAAAAAAACAAGUAACUUAAAUGUGAAAAUAAAAUUUAAAAAUUAUAAAAAUUAAUUCUUUUCCAAAAUACUAAUUAAAUUGUCUUUAUUAAGUUUUAAUACCUAAAUUACUUCUACUAAUUUUUUUUAUAGUACCUAAGCUACCCCUACUUACUCCUUAUGGCUAUCAAAGGAGAUGGUUUUAUUAUUUAUAGAUAGAUAGAUAACUUUAAAUAAAAGAAUGUUCAUCAAUUAGCUUUUAAAGUAUUGAUAAGUGUUAAAAGUAAUAUAUUUUAACCUCAUUCUUAAUGUGUUUUUGGGUGAUAAUUCGAUGUUAAUUGUGAAUUUUAUACUCUUAAUCCUUUAAAUUCAUGUUUUGAUGCCUAAUAGAGCAAAAGGAGCAAAAAACGAGUAAAAACCGAAAAAUCAAAGCAAGUUAUAGGACCUAUACGGGCAAACCCAUUCCACAUGACCAUGUGACCCACAUGAGCUACCAUACGAGCGUGUGGUAGGUCGUGUCGAUUGCACGGAUUUGCAUUCUGAAUAGCAAAAAAUCACGUUUUUAAAGUGUUUUAGGCAUUCUAAAACGUAUAUUUGACAAAAAUAAAAAGAUAGAAGGGAGCCAUUAUAGAAUUUUCAAGAAAACAACUCGAAAAACACCAUUGAAGCCGAUUCUGAAGUAGAUUUCCGUCAAGAUUGAAGACUCUCAGUUGAUUUCUUAAGAGAUUGUCAUAAGUUUUUUUUAUUUCUUUCGGUUAUACUGUAUCUUGGAUUUUUUUUUUCAAGCAUGAAUUAAUUUUCUAAAUACCUAGGGAGAUGAACCUUAUGAUGGAUUCUUACGUUUGAUUUUUAUUUUACGCAAUAAAUAAUUAUUUUUUAUUCUUAAUUAUCUGUGCUUAAUUUAUUGGUUUAAUAUUUCUAAACUAUUGAUCCAUAUUUGAUGUACUUAAAUCAGAGGUUAAAUAAACCAUAUGUAAGAGUAGAUUUUGCUUAAUUGAGUGGAGUUGCAUGCAAUCCCAAAAAUAUGAUGACAUAAAUCUAUUGGAUUAGAGUCAAAUCUAAUUGGGAAAUCCAUAGCCCGAGUUAAUGCGAUAAUAAGAGUUUUAAUUAAAAAGAACAAUCAAUUAAUCAACCUAGAGUCAGUUGCUCUUAUUCUCGAAAGAGAUAUUAGCAUAAUUAGGGGUUUCCAUGGAUCAUGUCACUAAAUAAAGAAAUUGCGUAAUUUAGAUUGAUAGUGACAGAUGAAAUCUAGGUGAAUUAUUUCAUGAGUAUUGUUUCGCUUCUUAGUUAUUAAUCCUUUAUUUGCUUCUUUUGUUCUUUGCUAUGUUUAUUAGUUAAUUAAAUUUAGUUUUUAAAUCAAUCACUUGAAUUAUUCUGUUAAAUGAUAGAAAAAGAUAAUAAUUAUUAGCACUUUUAAUUUUCAUAGAAACGAUAUCUUUAUUCAUUAUACCUAUACAAUUAACUGAUAAAUAAAUUUACUUUAGCUAGUUCCGUGGACAUAAAGUAAUACCAAUAAUUCGGAAUGAAUGAUAGGAAAUUUGAUUUUUUUUAUUGAAAUUUUAUAAAUAAAAAAUAAUAUUGAGAAAUCCAACUUAAGAAUUCAACACUAAUAUCACAUAAGAGAAAAGACAUAUGAUAUGAUAGGAAAGCAGGUUGAUGACUGGCUUGUGGAUAAUUAUGAAAAGGCAAACAAAAGAGAGAAUAUGAUUACAAAUAAACAGCUGGCUGCCAGAAUCAUUUCAUUGUGAAAAAAAUAUGUUAUAACAUGUUAAAAUAAUAUUAAUUUAUAUUAUAAUUAUAAUUAAUAUAAUAUGAAUGUCAAGCCCUCGAAUAAAUGCCUAUAAAAUAAUGUUGUGGCAUGGCCCCAUGGAGGUCUUGUUUGGAAUGGAUGUAUGUAUCAGUAUAUCCCACCAACUUCAAGUCGGUUGGCACACAAUACACGAACAAAUCAUUCACAAUAUCACAAUAUGGUAAAAUAAUAUAGAUCCCCACUUUUUUUUUACUUGAAAUCGCGAAAUUUUUACCAAGAUAAGUGCUAUUCGAGAACAAUUAAUUGAUUUAGAUUUGUGAAUUCGUAGAGAUUAUUUGGAGGUAGAAUGGAAAAAGUUAGGAGAAGAAUGCUCAUGAGUUAUGAAUGAGAAUAACAAAAAAUUAGAAGAAGAAAGGAUUUUUUUUUGGUUAGGUGCUUGGAAUGGAAUUGGUUAAGCAUUUUAUUCGAACAGAUAUAGAACUGGAAUGAAUGGUUUUAUGUCGUUUGGCUGUUCAGAUCUUACCUGUUAUAGAGAGGUGGUUGUUAUACACCUAUAACAACAUGUUGUUAUAGAGAGAUAAUAAGCUUACCAUAAAAUUUGUAUUGUGAAUUUUUAUUAAAUAAAGAAAAUGAGAAUUAUAUUAAAAAAAGAAAGAAAAUAGGAACCAAAUAAAUAAAAUUAAAAGACAUAUAAUAAGUGUAUGUAUUAUUGUUUUUAUGCAUAUUUUAUUUUACAUUAUUUCACAUGAUUAAUUAUAAAGUCCAUAAAUCUAAUAAGUUCAAUUAAUCAAUGAGUUAUCAAAUUAAAUUAAUUAAUUAAUUAAUUUAUAAUCAUUGUUAACCAAUGAGGUAAACAAGAGGAAGAAGAAGAUGAUUGAACAAGGAAGAAUGAAGUGAAGGUUGGGGAGUGGUUUUAGUUUUGAAGAUAGUUAGGGGAUUGGGAAGGAGUGUGUACGUGAAUCUAUAUGACUUGUUUGCAUGCCCCUUUUAUAGUGGGGAAUAAGCUUGGAUACGUGUCUUGAGGUUACUGACAUGGAAAUUUGAUUUGAUACCCUUGGCAGUGAUAAUGAUACUACGUCCUAGAAUCACGUCCUAAGAUGAGAUGUUAUAGGGUGACUAGCAAUUAAUUACUUUGGUCCUCCACGUGCCCCCACAUAGUCUUAGCGGAGUUGUUCCUUUCUAAAGUUCAUCGAGUUGAUGUUCGUGAACCAACCCUAAGUUCGUAAUGUAGUUGGUUCCAUUGAGAGAUACGCGUUCAGCUCUCUAUGGAUGCACUUUGAGGUUCAUAAAGUACAUUGUAAGGUCUGGGAGGAUCACUAGACAAGGUAUAACAAUCAUGAAUUACUAAAUUCAAGUAAUCAAUUUAUAACUUUAUGAUAUUUCAAAUUCAUAGCAAAAUAUUUAAUUAGGGAGCUUAAUAGUUUAUGGAAUUGAUAUAUUUAAUUUCACUCAGUGAAGAUUAUUUUCAUUUAAUAAAACAUGAUUAAUAAAUUUCUUCAAGUGAAAAUUAAUCAUUUUGUUGAAAUAAUAUUUUGAUUAAGAUAAUUUUCAUUUAAUAAAUGCUAAGUAAUAGGCUUGCUUAUAUGAAAGAGCUAUAAUUUUACUUAAAAUUUAGAUAAUAUGUUGUUAUAGAGAACUAAUUUAAUAAAGAACGUACUUCAUAAUUAUAGAUGUUACAAUUAAUAGUGAAAAAUUAUUAUAGAAAGUUAAAAUAGAAUAUUAAAAAUCGAUUCUUCUAAAAAUUUAACUAUUAUAAUAGAAUGUUGUUAUAACGAGUGAUUGUUAUAGAAAAAAAUAAUGCAUUACCCUAACAAAAUAGAUAAAUUUAAACUCUGACAAUUAUGAAUGAAGCAUAUUAAUUUUAAUUUCUCCUCUUAAUAUCUAAUCUAAGGUUUUGGUUUAACUUGCAUAUUUCAAUGAAUUAAUGAAUUUUGUUUAUCUAUUGUGAAAACUAUAUAUUUAGAAUACAUAUAAUAGAUUAAAAAUAAUGAAAUAUAAAUAUUGAAAUUAAUUAACAAUAACACAUAAAAUAUGUACGAUAUUAAAAUAAAAUUUACAUAUUAAAUUGUGAGUAAAAUAAAAUUUAAAGACAUAAACACAUCAUAUUAAGAGCACUAAAUACACUCCAAUUGCUUAUUAUGGUGUUGUCAUCAAUCUAGAGUUAGUGCUGAAUUCACUUAUGACACCAACUCAAUCAGCAACAUUAUUAAUACUAGAAAUUUUAUCACACAUAAGCGUGUGGAAAUCACAUAUUUAGAAUACAUAUAUGUGUUUAAAAAUAACAUGUAAUAAAUAAUAAAAGAUAUUGUUUGAAACUAAUAAUAAGACACAUGCAAUAUGUACGAAAUUAAAAUGAAAAAAUAUAGUUUAAAUUGUAAUUUUUAAAAAAAGUCAUUUUCCUAUAACAUGUCAAAAAGUUAUUGAAAGAAAAUUCAAUAUUAAAAUUCAAAUUAUGGCACACCCACAAUGUUUGUGAAAAAUUAAAUUACGUAUCAAAUAUAUUUGUAAAAAACUUAUAUAAAUAAUAAAUAAUGUUUUAGUUGAAUGGUAAAAUAUAAAUGAGAAAAAUUAAAGAGACAUGAGUUUAAAUCUUAUUUUAUAUACACAUGAGCGCGCGCACACACACAUAUAUAUUUGCAUUUUUCUAUUUUUAUAUAAAAUAAAUAAAAUGAUAGAAAUGCCUUCAAAAUAAUACAAUUUAUUUCAUAUAGUCAGGGUAUUUUAAUCUUUUUUCAACUGAGUUGGUAUCUAAUUAACCCGUGACACCAACUCAAUAAGGAGCCUUAAGUAUAGAUAUACAAUUGGUGGAGGUAAUAUAGCGUGCAUAAUAAAAUUAAAAUGUAAAAAGAUAAAAUAAAUCUUUAGUUGAGCGGUAAUUUAAGCUUUUAUUAAUACCAUCAACUUGGGUUCAAGUCCCACUGAUUGUAUUUAUUAUUCUUUUUAAAUAAAAAGAUAAAAGUACCCUCGAAAAAUAAAAUUUAUUUUUAAGUAUUAAAGAACAUUAUGAUAAUUUUCCUAAUUGAGUCGGUACUUAAUUGACUUAUGGAAUUAACUUAAUCAAGAACUUGAAUAAUAGUAUAGAUAAUGACUUGUUUGUAUAUACAUGUUCAAUUUUGUAUGUUGAAAAAAACCUUGUUAUUGAAGAUGUAUUUAUAUUUCCUCAGCAAAAUUGAAAAUAGAGAAAAAUAUAAAGAGAAACGAUUUUUUAUUGUUUUUAUUUGUGUGCUUGAUAAAAUAUACGAAAAAUUGAAAGUAAAAGUAAUUUUUUUUUUAUUGAUUGUUUAGUAGAGUUAAAAAAUGAAUUCAUUAAAAAUGGCUUCUGUCAUAAUUUGCUUCCGAACUAUAAGUACUUAAAUAAAUUUUUUUGUCCCAUUUUGAUACCUCAUUCAUUAUAAUUUUCGGUCCAAAAUAUUAAUGGUAUUAAAAAAAUUGUCAAACCAACCAAUGCGCUACAUGUUUGACAUUUUCACGUGUCAUUAAUUAUGUGACCAAUUAUCGAUGAUGUGGUCGUUAAUCAUUGAUCGUAUCGAACAACUGUUUGCUAGACAUUGGUUGGCAUGUAAAAGAAGGUCACAUAUACCAUUAAUUUUUUGGACCAAAAUUUAUAACAAAACAAUAGUUUAGGUAUUAAAAUAGGGAAAAAUGUUUACGCAAUAAAAUAAGAAAAGCAGAAUAGUGACUCGUGACCUAAACUUAAAAAAAAAUGCAUAAUUUUGAUAUAACAUACAUUUCUCUUAUCAUCCCAAUUUAUCAUAAUUUAUUUUUAUGCACUAAAAUGUAAAAUUAUUAUCCCUUCUUAUAUUUGAUCAAGUACGCCCUAUUUUUACUUCUUCACUUUUAUCUUACUUUUUAUUACAACACCAAUUUUAAAAAUAAAUAGAGUUGAAACAACAUUUUAAAAAAUAAUAAGAAACAUGACUAGGUUUACACAUUCAACCUCGUUUAUUUAUUGCCUUUUGACACAGUAAAUUUCCAGAGCAAGGGAAGACAUAAUCGUAGGAUAAAAGUUGCAAAGUUUGGCAUUCUGAUCUCAAUUUUUUAAAAUAAUAACAUGAAUAAACUAAUGAUAGAUUGAUUUAUUUAUUCUCUUUUUAAUUUUUUAUUUAAUCUGUUUUUUUUCACCAAUUUGUAUUAAUUUAAGAAUUUUGAUUUGUCUUAAAAUUAAAAGUGAUAAGUAUCGAAUUGAAUAUAUGUGAAAAUAUGAUGUAGUAUUAUAAAUGUGAAAUUGAAUUAAUAUCAUUAUGUGUAAUGCUAUUAUAUUGGAGAAUUGAUUAUUGGUUGAUGAAAUUAUGUAAUGAAAUUGAGAAAUUGUUACCCUAUUAACUGUUCGGGUAGAGUCGGAUAUAGUUGGCAUGCCAUAGGAUAGGAAGAGUUCAGGGUUACUUCGGUUGUACCGAUGAGGCACUGAGUGUCAAACACAUUGAUGAGCGUUGGGCUCAAACUAUUUACUUCGACAUUGUCCGAUGAGGCACUGGGUGUCAAACUGGUUUGAUUGGUUAGAUCCGUAUAUAUGUCCGAGUCCGAUUUAGAUUAAUAGGGGUAUAAAAUAAAUUUUGAUAAAUGAUAUUUGAAUUGGGUUAAUAUUAUGUUUUGAUGAUUUGUAUACAUAUUGUGAUUAACGGAUAUCGAUGACACGUAAAAAAUCAUACGAACCAGUUAUGUGCCUGAUGGGCCGAUAUAAAAAUGUGAUGAAUCAAUAAGUUCAAUUCAGAAUUUAAAUAAGGAAAUGAAAUAGUAAUUGUCAUUAAACUUAAAUUGGAUAUAUAACUGAUAAAUAGAUGGAAUGACAUAAUAUUAUAAGAAUGAUGUUCAUAUGGUUAAAUGUUGAAUUGAUUUUGAGAAUGGUAUUGAAAUGUGAUUUUAGGUGAGGUUUAUUUCAUAUUGAAAUGUUAUAUGAUGAGUUUAAAUGUUAACUCAGCUUGUUGAUUUAUGAUUGUCAUGUUUAGGUAAAAUUGUCAAGUUGAAUAACUUGUUGUGUUAAAUCGUAAAAUAAGGUAAGAUGUUUAAAUACCAGUGAACUUACUAAGCAUUUGUAAUGUUUACCUUCCACUUGUUUCCUUUUCCCUGUAAAUUGCCAACUUAAGGAACGUGUCAAGUGGAUCUUUGAGAAACUCACAUUAUCAUGUUGUUGAUUCGGUAUCUUUUAAUCAUUUAAAGUUCAAUUUUGUGGCAUGUAUAUAGGUAAUUUGUUUUGAUCAAUCUUGAAUGUUGGCACUUUGGUUCUUGAAUGUGAUUGGUAUUUUGAAUGGUUAUAUGUUAUAUACAUAGGUGUAAAGGUUGGUAAUGUGAUGCUCGAGUAUAGGCAUAAUAUGUAUAGAUAUGUUAUCUGGGAGUGAUAGUGUUUUUGGAACCUUAAAUAAUGUUAAACUUAAUUGGCAAAUAGGUUGUGUACUAAAAUGUGCACUUUGACAUUUUUGUCAAGUUAUGGUAGAAGCUUAAAUGGCAUUUAUUGAGGUUGAAAUGUUAAGAUGUUUGGCGUGCCUUAUUGAAUGAUUGAUGAAUACAUAUGCUAUUAAGCUUACCAAAGUGUUCAUUACAUGUGAAAUAACUUGUACGGUUUUGUAGUUAACAAAAUGGAUGAAUUAGGAUGUGUUUAGAAUAAUUUUAUGCAGGUUUGUAUUGGCCAAAUGUACACCAUUUUAGCCUUUAAUUUGUUUUGAUUAUAUUUAUUCUUUUUACUAUAAUGUUUAAAAUUAUUCAUAAUCUCUUUCGAACUCAUAAAUAAAAAAAUACACUAUUUUCAAUCUAACUAUCGUCAAUCUAAGACGAAUUUCAUAGUUUGUCGUUUUAGUAUCUUACGUAAAGAGAACGAAAGAAAAGUUCAACAACCGGAACUUAGACCUGGCAGUCUACACGUCUUCAUUUAAUAUUCGAAAUAGAAUAUUAUUAUUGAGCUUAUAUUACAUGUUACAAUAUAUGUAGAAUGAAACAAAAGAAUACUAUUGAGGAAAUUAAUUAAAUUAAAAUCCCUGUUAAGGAGCAGUGCAUUCUUUAGGAAGUCCCUGAGGGAAUCGCUUGGUGUCAGUGCAGUAAUUGUAAAUCAUGUAAUUUUUCUGAACCCAUUUCAGCCUUUCUUGGCUCGUUAUAUCCAGUUCUUGCGAUAGCCAUGAAUUUUGAGAGGGCGAGGUGGAGGAACAUGAUGAUUUCCCGGAAGACCACACACAUGUAUCAGCCUUGUAAUUCCUGUAAGCAGCGGUGAAAGGAGCUUGGCUCCAAUCUGUCUUAACAAGACCACCUCGAGUGGCCCAAUCAUCGGCGUUCCAAAGACUCGAAUACACUCUCAUCGGCUGGCUCUUUGGGAACGCAACGCCCUUCGAUUCCAAGUUCUUGAACUCUCUGAGCGGAGUCCCAUCAACAGAGAAGCU
rnacentral:lncRNA from 1 species